GGGAUACUUUUUAUUGAGUAGUCUAUAAUAGUAUCUAUAUAAUUAUCACACAUGUCAACAUGACACGUUUUCACAGUGCUCACGAAUUCAUACAAGGCUGAUUGUCUUAUUCAUUACCAAGUCCCUGUACUUUCUUUUAGCCUUUUACUCUUUUCACUCAUAGCAUAAGGUGUUCAUUCACCAUGCACCCUCCUAAUCCCACACACAGAGAAGGUGUUCAUUCACCAUGCACCCUCCUAUGGAGGAUGGUGAAACAGGGAAGCAGAACUCGGUUUUUAGUAGUUCUUCGAAGCUGCAGAGGCUCAUGGGAAGUAGGCCUGGAGAGAUGCUUCAGAUGGUCACGUGCCUGCAGUGCGAGCACGAGGACCCCAGUAGAGACUGACAGAAUCCACGGGAGAAACUGGCUGACUAGUGCCUGCUUAUAAUCCCAGCACUGGGAGGGUGGAGACAGACUUUUGGGGCUUGUUGGCCGGCCAGCCAUCUUGGCAAGUUUCAGGUUCAGUGAAAGAUCCUGUGGCAUAAGAUGAGGUAGAAAGUGUUUGAGGGAGACAUCCAGCCUUGACCUCUGCCCUACCCUCUGAUCCGUCCCUGCACCUGUAUGUAUACACAGGUGCACAUACAUGAACAUGUGCACACAAAAAUACUCAAGAGGUGGGGAUCCACAAAUAUCAUGAGCAGUUGAUUCCGUAAUCGUAGGAUAAGCCAGGUGCCUCAUAUGUCUCCUUAGACAGGUCUGAAUUAGUCAUGCAUUGCCUUGCAGUAUUUGGUUUGGAUACAAACUUUUAGAAAGCUGUAAUUGAACAGAUGGGGAAAAUCUAGAAGUAUGUUGAUUCAUUGGAUCCGAGGAUUUUGUUGGUUGUUUUUCAACUGUGUGGAAGAUUUGUGAAUUUGUAUAUCAUAGGAAACAGACUAUGAAGUUUGUCGAGGGUCACAGUCCAUUUGGGGAGUAUGACACUUGCCAGAAUAAAGGGCACCAUGAGAGUUUACGACAUUAGUUCCUUCCAGGAAAGCUUCCCUACCACAGAAAAUAAAUACAGGACUCACUCUACAAACUCUAAGAAUGAGAGAUGGGAUCUUACUGCAGACUUUUUGAACAGGACACAUUUAUAAUUCUGUGAGUAUCUACUUUCUCAGCAUAAGGCUUGCUGAUGCGUGAGGGAAUAAGAAAGCUCUGGGCUCCUCGAAUUCCUAGCUCUCCAUAGGAUUAUGGGAAAUGGAAAUCAGAUCAGCAGUCCAAGUGUGUGCUACAAAUGCUUAAACUUGUGCAUCUGUAAAACAUCGUGAAUAAAUGAAAACAGAAUUUCCUAUGUUGGUAGCUUGGUUUUGAGAACAGAGCAAGAAUCGGAAGUGGUGAUAAUUUAAGACAUCUGUUACUCUGUUAAUGCUGCAAACAUAGCCGUGCAACGAGGGCAACCAUGUGUUUCAAAGCUGGCAGUAUCUAAGCUACAACUUGAUUAAAGUGUGGGAAUAAUAAUCUUAAAAUCAAGAGCAGUUUUUUAUAAGGGCAUGGCAUGUUAUGCUGCCAAAACCCAUCUGUAUGCUAAGAAACCACUUAACUUCUGAUGACGGUGUAGAAUGGUUAUCUGAGUCAGAAUCAACCUGUAAUCAUUCUGUACGUUGUUGAUUUGAACAUCAGUGGAAAACUAGAUCUAUUGGUGUUUAGUUAGAGCAAACUUUCCUAUCUGAAUCCUAAUCUCGGUCUAAGAAGUCUAUGGGGAUCCAUUUUGUAAAGUUCAUGUGCUAUUUUAAAUGGUUUUUACUUUUAGUAUUUGUAAGGUAGUGAUGUUACUGUGACAAAAGUUUGUAGACACCAUGUAGCACCAUUAACUGCUCUAGAGCCUAAUAGACAGUGUAUUUUGUAUUUCAUGUGUACUUUUUCUGUUUCAUAUUGGACUUUUUACAUCCCUUUUUUAGGAAAAAAAAGGAUACAUUUAAAAAUUUUUUAGGGUAAUCUGUAUUGGAAGCUAAGUAUCCUCACAGUUAGCAAAUAUACUUUAUCACCAAAGCUAAAUGAAACUGUAAGAUACCUCUGGAUAUUUGUGCCAAUGAACUUUCUUAGUAAUCUGGGGAUAAAACAAAAGUAAUCUUUUCAGUAUUUUUCAUCUAGGACUUACAAUAAAUGUGGAUAUCUUGAAAACA
rnacentral:lncRNA from 1 species